GGGCAUGUGGUGUAGUUGGUUAUCACGCUCGCUUAGCAUAGUCCAUCGAGCAAAACUCCAGUUGCAUGCGAGAGGGGUCCGGUUCAAUCCCGGACAUGUCCA